CUUCCCUGUAGCAAAGCCAGCCAGAAUGGAGUUCACAGCCGCAGUGUGUCUGGUGACCCACAGGGACCAUGAUGAAAAUUCAUCUUCCAGAAGGUCCCAGAGCGUCCAGACCCCCUGAAAAGACCAAGAUGUGAGGUGUCUGCUGUUGAUUCCAGCUUCCACCUCAGUGACAGUGCAAGCUCAGUGAACUGUUCAAGCCUGGCUGAUCACCUGAUAACCCCUGUCAUCUGGUUAUGACAGCAUGAGGAUGUCCUCACACACCUGUAACCUAUCAGCUCAUCCUGCUGAAUAGAGAGAGAAGAGACCACACCACAUCUCCUGUUCCUGGAAAGCCUUCAGCCAUCCUUCGAUGACUGAGAACCUCCAUCAGCUCUGUCUCCUGUCUGCCUACAAUUAUUAUAAUAAAUAUUGUGUUUGACAAGUUUUUU